rnacentral:rRNA from 1 species
CGAAGCCUAGGGGCACGAACCGGAUUAGAUACCCGGGUAGUCCUAGGUGUAAACGCUGUGGACUUGGUGUUGGGGAUUCUACGAGUAUCCCCAGUGCCGGAGUGAAGAUGUUAAGUCCACUGCCUGGGGAGUACGGUCGCAAGGCUGAAACUUAAAGGAAUUGGCGGGGGAGCACAGCAACGAGAGGAGCGUGCGGUUUAAUUGGAUUCAACGCCGGAAAACUCACCAGUGCCGACGGACAUAUGAAGAUCAGCGUGAUGAGCUUAUUGGAUUGUUCGAGAGGUAGUGCAUGGCCGUCGUCAGUUCGUACCGUAAGGCGUUCUGUUAAGUCAGAUAACGAACGAGACCCCUAUCGUCUAUUUGCUAAACGGAUCUCCGGAUUCGUCGCACUAUAGCGAGACCGCUGGCGUGAAGUCAGAGGAAGGUGGGGGCAACGACAGGUCAGUAUGCUCCGAAUGCACUGGGCUACACGCGCGCUACAAAGGCCAGGACAAUGGGUCUGCCACGCCGAGAGGCGGCGCUAUCCCGAAACCUGGUCGUAGUUCGGAUCGAGGGCUGUAAUUCGCCCUCGUGAAGCUGGAUUUCGUAGUAAUCGCGUCUCAAAAUGGCGCGGUGAAUAUGCCCCUGCUCCUUGCACACACCGCCCGUCAAACCA